rnacentral:rRNA from 2 species
GCAUGCGGCGUGCUAUACAUGCAAGUCGAACGAACUCUGGUAUUGAUUGGUGCUUGCAUCAUGAUUUACAUUUGAGUGAGUGGCGAACUGGUGAGUAACACGUGGGAAACCUGCCCAGAAGCGGGGGAUAACACCUGGAAACAGAUGCUAAUACCGCAUAACAACUUGGACCGCAUGGUCCGAGUUUGAAAGAUGGCUUCGGCUAUCACUUUUGGAUGGUCCCGCGGCGUAUUAGCUAGAUGGUGGGGUAACGGCUCACCAUGGCAAUGAUACGUAGCCGACCUGAGAGGGUAAUCGGCCACAUUGGGACUGAGACACGGCCCAAACUCCUACGGGAGGCAGCAGUAGGGAAUCUUCCACAAUGGACGAAAGUCUGAUGGAGCAACGCCGCGUGAGUGAAGAAGGGUUUCGGCUCGUAAAACUCUGUUGUUAAAGAAGAACAUAUCUGAGAGUAACUGUUCAGGUAUUGACGGUAUUUAACCAGAAAGCCACGGCUAACUACGUGCCAGCAGCCGCGGUAAUACGUAGGUGGCAAGCGUUGUCCGGAUUUAUUGGGCGUAAAGCGAGCGCAGGCGGUUUUUUAAGUCUGAUGUGAAAGCCUUCGGCUCAACCGAAGAAGUGCAUCGGAAACUGGGAAACUUGAGUGCAGAAGAGGACAGUGGAACUCCAUGUGUAGCGGUGAAAUGCGUAGAUAUAUGGAAGAACACCAGUGGCGAAGGCGGCUGUCUGGUCUGUAACUGACGCUGAGGCUCGAAAGUAUGGGUAGCAAACAGGAUUAGAUACCCUGGUAGUCCAUACCGUAAACGAUGAAUGCUAAGUGUUGGAGGGUUUCCGCCCUUCAGUGCUGCAGCUAACGCAUUAAGCAUUCCGCCUGGGGAGUACGGCCGCAAGGCUGAAACUCAAAGGAAUUGACGGGGGCCCGCACAAGCGGUGGAGCAUGUGGUUUAAUUCGAAGCUACGCGAAGAACCUUACCAGGUCUUGACAUACUAUGCAAAUCUAAGAGAUUAGACGUUCCCUUCGGGGACAUGGAUACAGGUGGUGCAUGGUUGUCGUCAGCUCGUGUCGUGAGAUGUUGGGUUAAGUCCCGCAACGAGCGCAACCCUUAUUAUCAGUUGCCAGCAUUAAGUUGGGCACUCUGGUGAGACUGCCGGUGACAAACCGGAGGAAGGUGGGGAUGACGUCAAAUCAUCAUGCCCCUUAUGACCUGGGCUACACACGUGCUACAAUGGAUGGUACAACGAGUUGCGAACUCGCGAGAGUAAGCUAAUCUCUUAAAGCCAUUCUCAGUUCGGAUUGUAGGCUGCAACUCGCCUACAUGAAGUCGGAAUCGCUAGUAAUCGCGGAUCAGCAUGCCGCGGUGAAUACGUUCCCGGGCCUUGUACACACCGCCCGUCACACCAUGAGAGUUUGUAACACCCAAAGUCGGUGGGGUAACCUUUUAGGAACCAGCCGCCUAAGGUGACAGAGAUGG